rnacentral:lncRNA from 1 species
GGAGCCGGACCGGAGGUGUAGAUUUAAAGAUGCUUUUUACUAGGAUCAAAUCUAUGUUGCUUUGCUAUCCAUGCUCAGAAUUACAACAUAUGCAUAGUCUAGGUUGCUCUAGAUUGGUUACCUCUACUCUAUUUGUUAUCUGUCUGUACAUAGUAGAUUGGAUCUAAAUCUCUCAUCAACACUAAGUUCAUACUAACAAUGCUAGCUAGUUGAAGUAGAUCUUGUGCUAUAAGUUCCACGGAUUGAUAAACUUUUAGGGAAGUGCGCUUCCAGUUCACAAAUUGGCGUGCUAACCACCAUCAACACGCCAA